AACAGGACCGUUUGUUGCAUAAUGCUGAUAAAUCCAAACAAAUGAUUAAAUGGUUCUCCUUUUUAGGAGUGCCCUUCCAAAUCAUCCUACCUUCAACAAGGAUGUAGUACUCUUGCCCGAUCCUGCAUGGGAUAAAGUGUGCAAACAUAAAACAAAGAGAAAACUUCAUGAAAGUGGCUACAUUUUAAGUGCCUUUGAAAUGAGAAAAGCAUGGGACUGCAAGACAGAGAUAAAUAAAGCAUUCAAGGAUAGAAUUCCUGAGGAUUUCAGUAUACUGUUGAUGUCAUGUGGAAACAAACUUGUUUCACCAAAGUUACAUGAAGGCCCGGAACUGAAUGGCUUUAUGAUUCACAAGGUAUUCAAAUCGAAGCUUGACAGCACAGACUCGGAGGACAGCUGUGUGGAGCUUGACAUGACAUCUGCAUCUAAUGACCAGGGGACUAACACUCAAAGUCAGACAAGUGACUAUAUGAUUACAAGGUCCAGAAGAAACCAGACUGCAUCAACACAAAUUUCCAGUUAUCCUUUGACCAGAAGUACCACAGCUACUCCGCUUUUGGCAACACAGAAAGCAACCAGUGAUCUCCAGACCAGACGUAACCAGACUCCACUGAUGCACCAAGCAACUGGGCAUCUGAACAGCCAAACAUGAAGUCAGCACAGGAAGUCCUUCUCAGUCUGGCAUCCCAAAAUAACACUAACCAAAGAUGCAGAUUCAACAUUAACAGGUCUUCGGUACUGGAUGGUGCUCAACGAGGCUUCAAACGACUAUCCUAUAAUCCCAUGUAAGUUUUCAGAUGACUUGGGAAUGGACGAAGAGGCUGUGGACCUUGGUGGCCCUAGAAGAGAAUUCUUGCGUUUGCUUUUGGAAGCUCUUGCACAGUCACCAAUGUGUGAAGGAUGAGAUGGCAAACUGAACUUGGCU